rnacentral:tRNA from 1 species
AAGGGUAUAGCUUAGUGGUAGAGUGUGUGUUUAGCAUGCACAAGGUCCUAGGUUCAAUCCCCAGUACUGUCA